rnacentral:lncRNA from 1 species
AUCUUGUUUCUAAUUUAAUGGAAAAAGUAGUGUUUGUCUUCAUCUCUUCUAACUAUUUUUGGUUUGAAGUCUAUUUUACCAGGUAUUAUAAUAGCUAUGCUGGCUUAUUUCUUGGUUCCACUUGUUUAGAAUAACUUUUUAUAACUUCUUACCUUAAGGUACUGUUUAUUGUUGAUUGUUAGGUGUUUUACUUAGGGGCAGCAAAAAGUUAGAUUCUGUUUUCUAAUCUAAUAUGUUAGUCUGCAUCUUUUUAGAAAAAAACUGAUUUUCCAUGUAUGUGUGUAUGCAUGUAUGUGUAUCAUGUGUGUAUGGGAGCACACAGAAUUCAGAGGAAGCAUCAGAUCCCCUGGAACUGGAGUUACAGAUAGUUGUGAACCAUCAUGAAGGUUCUGAGAACUGAACCUAGGUCUUCUGGAAUGGAGGGAGAAGACUCAGGUUGUCACACUUGGAAGCAAGCAACUUUACUCCAUGAACCAUCUGACCAGCCCAGGGCCUCAGCCAGAUUUUCUUCUGCAGAGCAAUCUGGAACUAUAUCUGCAAAAACAAUUUCUUACAGAUAUAUGUCAGUGUUGAAAAGUAUAGAGGCUUCAGUGAUAAAUGUCUCCUACAGUCUUGAGCAUCUGAAUACUUGGUUCCAGUUGGUGACAUUGUUUGGGUUUGCAGCUCAAGAUGUAAGCUCUGAGGAUGUGAGCUUGCUGCUCUAGCUGUCAUGCCUGCCACUUCCUCAUGCUGGUGAUGGACUCCUAUCCCUCUG